AUCAUCACACAGAUCCAAAAAUUUAAGAGUGACUCUCACCUGAGCCACUAUGGUAGACACUAUGCCAAGCUGACUCUUCAGCAACCUCACCUGUAAGCAAAUUUUAGGCAAAGGGGCUGUGCUCCCUACACAAAAUUCUAGUCCUGUGAUAGUCCUUGACCUUGGGCUGUAUCCACAAGACAGCACAUUCAUGAUCUUCCUAUGCUUUUGUACCAGUCCUUCUGGACACAGCUGAGCAUACCCAGGCCAUGGACCACAGCUUGGGGACUUCUCUAUUUGAAACCAGUGACAGCAGAUGUUCUAGAAUCUAGAGCCACGGUGCCUCCUCUUCUGAGCCAGGACUCCGGUGGCCCCACUGCCUUGUUCACUCCAGGCUCAGUCACCAGCACCA